rnacentral:rRNA from 1 species
UACGUAGGGUGCAAGCGUUGUCCGGAAUUAUUGGGCGUAAAGAGCUCGUAGGCGGUUUGUUGCGUCGGCUGUGAAAUCCCGAGGCUCAACCUCGGGUCUGCAGUCGAUACGGGCAGGCUGGAGUUCGGUAGGGGAGACUGGAAUUCCUGGUGUAGCGGUGAAAUGCGUAGAUAUCUGGAGGAACACCGGUGGCGAAGGCGGCGUUCUGGACUGCAACUGACACUGAGGAACGAAAGCCAGGGGAGCAAACGGG